GACAGAGGUCCCGAGCGUUAUGCGGAAUCACUGGGCUUAAAGCGUGUGUAGGCGGAUGCCUAAGUACCUUGUGAAAUCCCACGGCUCACCCGUGGAACUGCUUGGUAUACUGGGUGUCUUGAGCCACUUAGGGGCUACCGGAACAAAUGGUGGAGCGGUGAAAUGCGUAGAUAUCAUUUGGAACGCCAAUGGUGAAAACAGGUAGCUGGGAGUGUGCUGACGCUGAGACACGAAAGCCAGGGGAGCAAACGGG
rnacentral:rRNA from 1 species